AGAGUUUGAUCAUGGCUCAGAUUGAACGCUGGCGGCAUGCUUUACACAUGCAAGUCGAACGGCAGCACGGGCUUCGGCCUGGUGGCGAGUGGCGAACGGGUGAGUAAUGCAUCGGAACGUACCGUGUAGUGGGGGAUAACGUAGCGAAAGUUACGCUAAUACCGCAUACGCCCUGAGGGGGAAAGUGGGGGACCGCAAGGCCUCACGCUAUAUGAGCGGCCGAUGUCGGAUUAGCUAGUUGGCGGGGUAAAGGCCCACCAAGGCGACGAUCCGUA
rnacentral:rRNA from 1 species